rnacentral:rRNA from 1 species
CACGUAGGGCGCAAGCGUUGUCCGGAAUCAUUGGGCGUAAAGCGCGCGUAGGUGGCCACAUAAGUCCGUUGUGAAAGUCAAAGGCUCAACCUUUGAAAGCCGAUGGAUACUGUGUGGCUAGAGUACGGAAGAGGCGAGUGGAAUUCCUGGUGUAGCGGUGGAAUGCGCAGAUAUCAGGAGGAACACCAAUAGCGAAGGCAGCUCGCUGGGACGUUACUGACACUGAGGCGCGAAAGCGUGGGGAGCGAACAGG